UUAACAGCCAUGGAGACUGAAGGCCUCCAUUUAUCCACAGAACAGGUCCAGCGUGGGCAGCGAGCAUCCACACCUCGCUGUACCUCCCUGCACACUCAGACGGUCCCCUUUAGAAGGGACUUUUAUUCUCUGUGGCCUACUCAACCCAUGGCCUUU
rnacentral:sRNA from 1 species